CAAUAGCGUAUAUUUAAGUUGUUGCAGUUAAAAAGCUCGUAGUUGGAUUUCGGGUGGGACGCAGCGGUCUCGCAUUGCGUUUGUGCUGCUGCAGCCCUCCUUCUUGCCGGGGGCGGCCUCUCGGACUUCACUGUCUGGGGGUCAGAAUCGGCGAUGUUACUUUGAGUAAAUUAGAGUGUUCAAAGCAAGCUUACGCUCUGAAUAUAAUAGCAUGGGAUAACACGACAGGACUCUGGCCUAUCGUGUUGGUCUAUAGGACCAGAGUAAUGAUUAAGAGGGACAGUCGGGGGCAUUCGUAUUCCGUUGUCAGAGGUGAAAUUCUUGGAUUUACGGAAGACGAACAUCUGCGAAAGCAUUUGCCAAGGAUGUUUUCAUUGA
rnacentral:rRNA from 1 species